UAACGGAAGCAACGUGGCAGUGCUGCUUC
rnacentral:piRNA from 1 species